UUCGUUGGUUGUUGUUUUGAGGUAGGGCUAACCUGGGCUUCAAGAUCCUUCUGGGAUUACAACUGGGUGCAGCACACCUGACAGGAGGCUGUAUUUCUUUAUUUCUUUUAAUUGAAUUAGCCCUGCUGUCUCCUCGGUGGCUCUGUUCACUCUACUGAAGUUGACUAAAAUGAAUCUGCAGGGAUCAUUAGCUGUUUCUCUCUUAUUAGGGCCAAGAGCAUCACAGCAAAGGCAGUCUCUUCCAUUAUCCAAAGAUUUGUUUCCUCGCAUCUGUGUUGUGGAGCUAGGAGGAUGUGGCUGGGAGAAGCUGAUGGCAGAGGAGUUUUCAGGUUUGGAAUCACCUAGGGGGCAACCUCCUUGGGCAUCCAAGAAGGCAUUUCCAGAGAGGUUAACUGAGGCAAGAAGACUCUCCCUGAACAGUAUUUGCCCCUCCCAUAGGCUGGGGUCCUGGAAUGAAUGAAAAGUGAGAAAUGUAAUAUGUGGACUGCAGUGCUGGCAGAGGUUGGAAGAGGGCAUCAUUUUCCCUGGGACUCGAGUCCAGGCAGUUGUGAGCCAUUUGAUGUGAAUGCUAGGAAUCAAGCCCAAGUCCUUUGCAAGAGCAACCGUAUUCUUAACUGCUGGGCAUCUGUCUGGUUCCAGACAAUGCCCCACCCCUAUUAUAAACACUUAAUG